rnacentral:misc_RNA from 1 species
GAUGAAGAACGUAGCGAAAUGCGAUAAGUAAUGUGAAUUACAGAAUUCAGUGAAUCAUCGAGUCUUUGAACGCACAUUGCGCCCCCUGGUAUUCCGGGGGGCAUGCCUGUCCGAGCGUCAUUGCUGCCCUCAAGCACGGCUUGUGUGUUGGGCCCCCGUCCCCGGUUUCCCCCGGGGACGGGCCCGAAAGGCAGCGGCGGCACCGCGUCCGGUCCUCGAGCGUAUGGGGCUUUGUCACCCGCUCUGUAGGCCCGGCCGGCGCCAGCCGACACCCAACUUUAUUUCUAAGGUUGACCUCGGAUCAGGUAGGGAUACCCGCUGAACUUAAGCAUAUCAAUAAGCGGAGGA